rnacentral:rRNA from 1 species
CAGUCGCCACGGUAAUACGGAGGGGGCUAGCGUUGUUCGGAAUUACUGGGCGUAAAGCGCACGUAGGCGGCUUGGUAAGUUAGAGGUGAAAGCCUGGAGCUCAACUCCAGAAUUGCCUUUAAGACUGCCGAGCUAGCAGGUGAGAGAGGUAAGUGGAAUUCCGAGUGUAGAGGUGAAAUUCGUAGAUAUUCGGAAGAACACCAGUGGCGAAGGCGGCUUACUGGCUCAUACUGGACGCUGAGGUGCGAAAGCGUGGGGAGCAAACAGGAUUAGAUACCCCGGUAGUCCCUGUCUCUUAUAC